rnacentral:rRNA from 1 species
CCACGCUGUAAACGCUGUCGAUUUGGGGGUUGGGCUUAGAGCUUGGCGCCCGUAGCUAACGUGAUAAAUCGACCGCCUGGGGAGUACGGCCGCAAGGUUAAAACUCAAAUGAAUUGACGGGGGCCCGCACAAGCGGUGGAGCAUGUGGUUUAAUUCGAUGCAACGCGAAGAACCUUACCUACUCUUGACAUCCAAAGAAUCCUGUAGAGAUACAGGAGUGCCUUCGGGAGCUUUGAGACAGGUGCUGCAUGGCUGU